UUUAAUGAGAGUUUGAUCCUGGCUCAGGACGAACGCUGGCGGCGUGCCUAAUACAUGCAAGUAGAACGCUGAUGUUUGGUGUUUACACUAGACUGAUGAGUUGCGAACGGGUGAGUAACGCGUAGGUAACCUGCCUCAUAGCGGGGGAUAACUAUUGGAAACGAUAGCUAAUACCGCAUAAGAGUAAUUAACACAUGUUAGUUAUUUAAAAGGAGCAAUUGCUUCACUGUGAGAUGGACCUGCGUUGUAUUAGCUAGUUGGUGAGGUAAAGGCUCACCAAGGCGACGAUACAUAGCCGACCUGAGAGGGUGAUCGGCCACACUGGGACUGAGACACGGCCCAGACUCCUACGGGAGG
rnacentral:rRNA from 1 species